GGGCAUGUGGCGGAACUGGUAUACGCGCAGGACUCAGAAUCCUGUCCCGCAAGGGUUGAGGGUUCGAGUCCCUCCAUGCCCACCA
rnacentral:tRNA from 1 species